UGUCAAAUCAUCAUGCCCCUUAUGUCUUGGGCUACACACGUGCUACAAUGGGUUAUACAGAGUGAGGCGAGGCCGCGAGGCGGAGCGGAUCACGAAAGUAACCCCCAGUUCGGAUUGCAGGCUGCAACCCGCCUGCAUGAAGUUGGAAUCGCUAGUAAUCGCGGAUCAGCAUGCCCGCGGUCGAAUACGUUCCGGGCCUU
rnacentral:rRNA from 1 species